rnacentral:rRNA from 1 species
UACGGGGGGAGCAAGCGUUGUUCGGAUUUACUGGGCGUAAAGGGCGCGCAGGCGGCGCAUUUUGUCAGGCGUGAAAGCCCCGGGCUUAACCUGGGAACUGCGUUUGAUACGGAUGGGCUAGAGUUCGGGAGAGGAGAGUGGAAUUCCCAGUGUAGAGGUGAAAUGCGUUGAGAUCCACAGGAACUCCGGUGGCGAAGGCGGCGUGCUGGACCCGUCCUGACGCUGAGGCGCGAAAGCCAGGGGAGCGAACGGG